AUUGAACGCUGGCGGCAUGCCUAACACAUGCAAGUCGAACGAGCGGCGGACGGGUGAGUAAUGUAUGGGAACCUGCCCGUUAGAGGGGGAUAACUACUGGAAACGGUGGCUAAUACCGCAUACUAUCGGAUGAACCCAUAUGGGAUUAGCUAGUAGGUGGGGUAAAGGCUCACCAAGGCCACGAUCCCUAGCUGGUCUGGGAGGAUGAUCAGCACCACUGGGACUGAGACACGGCCCAGACUCCUACGGGAGGAAGCAGUGGGGAACAUUGGACAAUGGGGGAAAGCCGGAUACAGACAUGCCGCGUGUAGGAAGAAGGCCUUAGGGUUGUAAAGUACUUUCAGCGGGGAGGCGGUACCUGCAGAAGAAGCACCGGCUAACUACGUGCCAGCAGCCGCGGUAAUAC
rnacentral:rRNA from 1 species